rnacentral:rRNA from 1 species
GCAAGUCGAACGAGAACGGGUUAUAGCUUGCUAUAAUUAUCAGCUAAGUGGCGCACGGGUGAGAAAUAUAUAGGUAAUAUGCCUUCGAGAAGGGGAUAAAGUUUGGAUACGAACGCUAAUACCCUAUAUGUCUUUAUCACAUAAGUGAGCAAGGGAAAUAUUUAUAGCUCGAAGAUUGGCCUGUACAGUAUCAGUUAGUUGGUGAGGUAAUGGCUCACCAAGACAAUGACGCGUAACUGGUUUGAGAGGAUGAUC